AGGAGGCUAGCUAUUGCUUCUAAUGGCAUUAGCUUGUCCCUCCUACCUCUUCUGCUUUCCCAAUUUAUGAGUUCCCUGAUUUUUGGCAACUUUUGGUUUUGUACUUGGGCUGUAUAAUUUAGCAUCAUAAAUAGCUGAGACUGGCAAGCAGAGCGUAACUGAUAAUGGAUCCAGAGGUUUCUUUUAUGUGCUGGAGUCGUUAUAAACAAGAAUAAAACUGAUUAUUUCAGCAAACAGUCACAAAAAUCGGUUUUAAUUUUAGAUUUUUGUCCACAGCCAAUAGAAAGAGGAUGGUUUGUAUUGGUGAAUCUCUGCUGAGGGUGGAAGGAGCCAGAACUGCACUUACAGAGGAUUCCCACAGAUCUUUGUUCCGUGUGACUGUGGAAAAAGGACUCUGCCACUGGUACAGACUUGCAGAGCUUGUCAGGAUAACCAGAAUAGCACCAGAUAAUCAAAAUGGCAAAAUUCCCCUUCUUCCUUUACCUGCUGCAGCUGGUUUGAGGGGUCUUCUGGGACAGUCUCUGAGACAGAAGAGCUUGUUCUUCUUCUUGAAUUUGACUUGAUUGCUUUCAUGCAGAACUAAUUGCCAUGUUUUCACAGGAGAAAGAAGGCAUCGAGGCCACACAAAGCCAGACCCAGGAGCACACUAUCAGUUUUUGUAGCUGUUUCCAGGCUCCAUCAGAAUACAAAAGGAGGCAAAUUACUGAAGGCUUUGCUGACAGAGUUCGAGAAGUUUGGGAAAUUGUCAUUAGCAAAACUCAGGCAGGAAAGCCACCUCAUCUUCAAACGAGCUGCUAGGAAAUACAGCUGACCAGAGAAUUAACUCUGCCCAGGACUGAUGCCACAGAGCUGCAGACUGCAAGGGGAGCCAGGCACCAGAUGAUUCCAAUGAAGAUUAUGAAAAUCAGGAAAGCAGCCAGAACAGCAAUCAACUCCAUUUUGCAAUAAACUAAAGAACACCUGGUACUUUGCAACUUUGUCCUUUGAUAAUCUGGAAACCCAAUUUUCAGCAUCUAAACUGUGUAUUCCCAUUUUAUCACACUCACCAGCCUGGGUUAUGUUGAGCAGCAGUGAUGUUCAUCUCAGGAUGCACAUGGCAAGAUCUGGUACCAUGUGGACAAAGCAGAGAAAAUGGAUGUUAGCAUUUUG